GAAUCUUUGUCAAUGAGCGCAAGCUUGAACGAGCGACGCCGCGUGCGGGAUGAAGGCCUUCGGGUUGUAAACCGCUGUCAGGGGCUAACAAUAAGCGUGUAACUCACGCGAUGAGUUAAACCCCAGAGGAAGUGACGGCUAACUACGUGCCAGCAGCUGCGGUAAUACGUAGGUCACGAACGUUAUUCGGAAUCACUGGGCUUAAAGGGCGCGUAGGCGGCUCAGAAAGUAGAGGUUGAAAUCCGGCGGCUCACCCGUCGAACUGGUCUCUAAACUACUGGGCUGGAGUCAUGGAGGGGUGCGUGGAACUUGUGGUGGAGCGGUGAAAUGCUCAGAUAUCACAGGGAACACCGGUGGCGAAGGCGACGCACUGGCCAUGUACUGACGCUGAGGCGCGAAAGCCAGGGGAGCGAACGGG
rnacentral:rRNA from 1 species